UACGAAGGUGGCAAGCGUUACUCGGAAUUACUAGGCGUAAAGGGCAGGUAGGUGGUUUGGUAAGUCUAUUGUGAAAGCUCCCGGCUUAACUGGGAGAGGCCAAUGGAUACUGCCAAGCUUGAGUAUAGGAGAGGUUACUGGAAUUCCCGGUGUAGCGGUGAAAUGCGCAGAUAUCGGGAGGAACACCAAUGGCGAAAGCAGGUAACUGGACUAUUACUGACACUCAACUGCGAAAGCUAGGGGAGCAAACAGG
rnacentral:rRNA from 1 species